rnacentral:misc_RNA from 1 species
UUAACUUCGUUAACACGUAGCUCAGAGGGCACGGUAGAGACUGAGUCCUGGUGACCGCGGCGGGCGCCUGCCGAGGCAGGCCGGGGGCCCCGCCCUGGGGCCGCCCGCCGAGGCAACGUACGGUAGGUUCACGGUGGGUUAGGAGUCUCGCGACCCUGUUAAUGAUCCCUCCGCUGGUUCACCAACGGAGA